GAUGAACGCUGGCUACAGGCUUAACACAUGCAAGUCGAGGGGAAACGCCGGGGAAGCUUGCUUCCCCGGGCGUCGACCGGCGCAAGGGUGAGUAACGCGUAUCCAACCUGCCUCUGACUGAGGGAUAACCCGUCGACAGUCGGCCUAAUAACGCAUUGCAUCGUCUUCGGGCAUCCAACGACGAUUGAAGAUUUCAUCGGUCAGAGAUGGGGAUGCGUCUGAUUAGCUUGUUGGCGGGGUAACAGCCCACCAAGGCGACGAUCAGUAGGGGUUCUGAGAGGAAGGUCCCCCACAUUGGAACUGAGACACGGUCCAAACUCCUACGGGAGGCAGCAGUGAGGAAUAAUGGUCGAUGGGCGAGAGCCUGAACCAGCCAGGUAGCGUGCAGGAUGACGGCCCUAUGAGUUGUAAACUGCUUUUAUGCGGGGAUAAAGUGAGGGACGUGUCCUUCAUUGCAGGUACCGCAUGAAUAAGGACCGGCUAAUUCCGU
rnacentral:rRNA from 1 species